UACGUAGGGACCAAGCGUUGUUCGGAUUUACUGGGCGUAAAGGGCGCGUAGGCGGCCACCGCAAGUCGACUGUGAAAUCUCCGGGCUUAACCCGGAAAGGUCAGCCGAUACUGCGGGGCUAGAGUGCAGAAGGGGCAACUGGAAUUCUCGGUGUAGCGGUGAAAUGCGUAGAUAUCGAGAGGAACACCUGCGGCGAAGGCGGGUUGCUGGGCUGAUACUGACGCUGAGGCGCGAAAGCCAGGGGAGCGAACGGG
rnacentral:rRNA from 1 species